UACGUAGGGGGCAAGCGUUGUCCGGAAUCAUUGGGCAUAAAGCGCGCGUAGGCGGCCCGGUAAGUCCGUUGUGAAAGUCAAAGGCUCAACCUUUGAAUGUCAGUGGAUACUGCCGGGCUAGAGUCCGGAAGAGGCGAGUGGAACUCCUGGUGUAGCGGUGGAAUGCGCAGAUAUCAGGAAGAACACCGACGGCGAAGGCAGCUCGCUGGGACGGUACUGACGCUGAGGCGCGAAAGCGUGGGGAGCGAACAGG
rnacentral:rRNA from 1 species